rnacentral:rRNA from 1 species
UACGUAGGGUGCGAGCGUUAAUCGGAAUUACUGGGCGUAAAGCGUGCGCAGGCGGUUCGUUGUGUCGGCGGUGAAAGCCCCGGGCUUAACCUGGGAAUGGCCGUUGAAACUGGCGAACUGGAGUGUGGCAGAGGGGGGUGGAAUUCCGCGUGUAGCAGUGAAAUGCGUAGAUAUCAGGAGGAACACCUGUGGCGAAAGCGGCGCACUGGACCACAACUGACGCUGAGGCGCGAAAGCUAGGGGAGCAAACAGG